rnacentral:rRNA from 1 species
UUGCUCUUCAACGAGGAAUCCCUAGUAAGCGCAAGUCAUCAGCUUGCGUUGAUUACGUCCCUGCCCUUUGUACACACCGCCCGUCGCUACUACCGAUUGAAUGGCUCAGUGAGGCAUCCGGACUGGCCCAGAGAGGUGGGCAACUACCACUCAGGGCCGGAAAGCUUUCCAAACUCGGUCAUUUAGAGGAAGUAAAAGUCGUAACAAGGUCUCCGUUGGUGAACCAGCGGAGGGAUCAUUAUCGAGUUUAUUCAACUCCCAAACCCUAUGUGAACUUACCACUUGUUGCUUCGGCGGCGCUCUCGGGCGUCGCCGAGGGUAUCAAACUCUUUUUGUUUUUACAGCAUUAUCUGAGUGGCCGCAAGGCAAAAAAACAAAUGAAUCAUAACUUUCAACAACGGAUCUCUUGGUUCUGGCAUCGAUGAAGAACGCAGCGAAAUGCGAUAAGUAAUGUGAAUUGCAGAAUUCAGUGAAUCGUCGAAUCUUUGAACGCACAUUGCGCCCGCCAGCAUUCUGGCGGGCAUGCCUGUUCGAGCGUCAUUUCAACCCUCGAGCCCGACUCUUCGGAGGACGGCUCGGCGUUGGGGACCGGCAGACUGCCCCCCGCCUCCGGGCGAGGGACGCCGCCCCCGAAAUCUAGUGGCGGCCCUCCGCGGCGACCUCUGCGUAGUAACUCACCUCGCACUGGGAAGAACGGAGCGGCCACGCCGUAAAACACCCAACUUUCUCAAGGUUGACCUCGAAUCAGGUAGGACUACCCGCUGAACUUAAGCAUAUCAAUAAGCGGAAGA